AUGUGGGUUAGUAUGUUGUUCAGAGGUGUGCCCUUCCUAUACAUGGAAGUUCAUGAGAGAAUACACAGAGUAAUUAAUGACAACACAAACAGCAGAGAGGUCCGCUAGUCAUUUGUUGAAGGCUCUGUACUAAUUGCCAUGACUCUGGGACAAAUUUUCUAGCUGAAGAGAUUUGUUGACGUCUGAAGAGUUGUUUAAGGAAACUUUUCCUGAUGUUCCCAAACACUCACUUCACUGUCUACCAAACAACAUCCUGGGCACCCUGGCUGCAACCCUGCUGGCCCUGAUGUUGCCUCUCUGCCUUUCUCCUUCCCCUACACCCAUGUGUUUGAUCUUCCUGCACAAAUUUGGCCCAUCCCUCCCCUCCACUUUGCCCUGAACUUCAGCACCCAUUUCGCAGCAGGGAGCAUGUUGAAUCCCAGGUAAGGGCAGAGUGAGGACAUUGGCUUCAGCAGAUGCUACCAAACGUGCUCCGCAACAGCGAAGCAACCCAUUGUGUAGGGGAACAGAUUGUGACACUAUACCUUCCCUCUUCCCUCCCAUUCCGUCCUCGCUUUGCUCUGGGAAUGCAUUCCACUGAAGUUAGAAUGAGGGCAGCAGCUUCUCUGGUGACUAGUUCACAUCUACUUUGAGUGUCCUGUUUCAACCUUUUUUUUUUUUUUAAUUCUUCCUAUUUCUAGCCUGUAUGGUAAUCUGUAUUUUUGGAUGGUUACUAUUCUGUUAAUAUGGAUGUAUCAAUUAAUUUGAAAACAACUAUCUUAAUAGUAAAUCAAAAACUACCUACUGUGGAGAGGAGAGCUGUGCAAAUAACUGAUAUUUUUCAGAAUUUUUGGUGAAUCAAAAGAGUCAGAAAAAUUUCUGCUUGGGUUGAAUGAAAUAUUUUGUCCAACUGAAACUGAAGAUUUCUUUUUGGGCAUUUUAAGCCUUUUUAAAUAAAAGCAAAGGAAACAAAGAGUUAGAUUCACAAAAUGGUUCUGGAGGUUCUGCUGCCUUUGCACCCACUUGCCCAAUAGAUAGAGCACUCACCUGGGAUGAGAGAGACCCGUGUUCCAAGCCCCACUCUGAAGCAAGGACUUGAACCUAAUUGCCCUUCCCCCUGCAUGAGUGUCCUAAUCAGAGGCUAUAGGAUAUUUUGGGCUGAGUCUCUCUGUCUCUCCUGUUGUAGCUGUUCCAGUCAUUGGAACAGGAACUGGAAUCCAGGGGUCCCCCACCCACAAGUGUCCUGAUCACUGGGCUAUAGAGUCAUUGUGACUCUUUCUCUGGUCCAAAGACUAUUAAAAUAUUUAUAUAAAAAUUGAACAGCUUCAACGUUAGAGAUGGAGAGAGACCUACAUCAGAAUAACUUAAAGCUUGAUAAUUAGGGCACCUACGUGGGAGGUGGACUCAUGGGUUCAGAUCCCUGCUCAAGAGCCAGGGACUCAAACCUGGGUCUCCCACGUCAGUGCCCUAACCAUUGGGCCAUUGGAUGUGGAGAGCAGCAGCGCCACUGCCACUGUUUUGUGAAUGGUACCUAAAUCCCCUUGUGACUCUAGCCCAAAACCUCAAAACGUUUCAUUUUGACAUUUCUGAUUUUUUUCUUUGUUUUUAACAAAACUAUUCAUAAAAUGUUUUGGUCAACCCAAAUUUUCCUUUUUUUCGGGGGAAAAAAAAAGUUUCAGCUGAAAAAUGUUGCCAGCCACAGUUGGAGAUGUCCUUCACCUGCAUUUUGAUUGCAGUUAUUCAGAUGCAGGAGUGACAAGUCAAGGCGCACACAGCACAAAGGAAUAGUAAAAUCUGCAUUAGCUAGCAGUGUGAUUGAUCAUAUGUUUGUCUACAGAGUCAUAGUAAUUCAUGCUGUUCAAAGGCCUAAUCACUACCAGAAUUUAAAAAAAAAAUACUCUCUAGAUUUUAGACUUGCAUGGAAGAAAAGCAAGAAUAAUUUAUAAAAGACACAAUGUUGUAACUGAAAAAGAGACAUAUAAUCUAAACCAUACGGGUAGCAUAUCUGGAUUGUGUAGAUUAAAAAAAUCAUGGAUUGUCAUUUUUUUUAACCUGCAUAUAAAGGGCUGUAAUUGUUCCGUGGAUAUCUGGUUACUACUCUUGUCCUUUAAUAUUACCUGGACAACUUUAGUGAAAUUAUAUAAUUAAUAGAUCAUAUGUCACUGAUAUAUACAUUACGCCUUCUGGGCCUGAUUCAGGAGAGCAUCCUUAUUUAGAGAAAGCACUUGGGCACAUGACGAAGGCCCGUUGACAUCGGUGGGUCUUAAGCAUGUGCUUUCCUGAAGUGCGGCCUGUGUUACAAAGUAUAUAUGAUGAUGUACUAUAAAGGCUUUAUCAGAAUCAGUCUGGCUGGUGCAUUACUUGUCAGUGGCAAACCUACAGGAGGUCAUUCCAAACAUAUACUCUGUACAUUCCACAUUGUUGAGAUAAAAACUAUCUUUAAUUUAUUUUUUUUUAAAUCAGCUUACUAUUUUGUCUUUGACCAUCAGUAACAAACCCCUUUAGUGCUUUGAAUCCAAUGGCCCGGACCUCUAAAGGAAAGGAAAGAGAAAAAUGUCAAAUAUCUAUAAAUUACUGAAAGUAUUUCUAUACAUGAAAAUGUAAUUAAUUCAAAGUUUUGAGACAUCUUUAGGCUACAAACCUGAAUGUGGUGUCUCCCAGGGGAAAGAUGUAGAUCUCAGAUUUCCAAAGGUAUAAAGCACCUCAUAAGGAGUCUGGCAAGAACACCCCAGGAACCCCGACAUGGGGUAUUCUAUCUGCUACCCAAGAUCCAUAAACCUGGAAAUCCUGGACACCCCAUCAUCUCAGG